GGGGGCGACUGGUCUCGACGGGAUCGACGAGAUGCCUGGUUGCACGUACUGGUUGCUUUCGGCCCAGUAUAAAAAACGAGGACACUAUAUAGAUGCCGAUGAUUACGGCUACGCAAUGGCUGCGUAGAUAACCGCAGCCCGUCUUCUGACCGCCUCGCCUGUGGGUAGUCAGUCGACGUCGAUAAUGCAGGCUAGCUUGUCCGGUUGUACUCGCCUGACUCGCAAAACUGAAUCGGGUAAUCGUCCUGCUGGAGCGUGUCUCUUCGCGCCAGCCGGAUUAAACUAAAACAGAGACUAAGCGUGUAGUAGCCAGCCAGAUUGCUUUCUCGGACGAGGGUUCGAUUCCCUCCGCCUCCACUU
rnacentral:tmRNA from 1 species